rnacentral:rRNA from 1 species
UACGUAGGGUGCAAGCGUUGUCCGGAAUUAUUGGGCGUAAAGGGCUCGUAGGCGGUUUGUCACGUCGGGAGUGAAAACUCGGGGCUCAACCCCGAGCCUGCUUCCGAUACGGGCAGACUAGAGGUAUGCAGGGGAGAAUGGAAUUCCUGGUGUAGCGGUGAAAUGCGCAGAUAUCUGGAAGAACACCGGUGGCGAAGGCGGCCUUCUGGACGGUGACUGACGCUGAGACGCGAAAGCGUGGGGAGCAAACAGG